AUCUGUCUAUUCAUCUACCAGUCCAGCUCUUGAAUUGGAAAUGAUUAUAGGUGAUUUAUAAGUAUAUAUAAGAUAUGACAAUGUACUAUGGAUUAAAAACUGAGUGACAGAGGAAGGAAACACAAUGAUAAGAUCAUAAUACUAAGUCAGAAUGAAAGUUAAAAUGCAAGAUCAUGUAGCGUUAUAUCAGCAGUUUCAAAAUUUAGCAACCGCUGUACUCCCCAUGGGGUAUUUGUUAAGAAUGCAAGUUCCUUAACCCCACCCUCGGACCCCUGGCACCUAUAUUGUUAACCCGUGCCCCCAGGUGAUCCUGAUGCAGGUGGUUGUAGGACCACACUUUAGAAGCACUGACCUAUUUCCUUGCUGCAGAUGGGUAAAUUUGGCUCCAGGUUUUCUGGCAGUCAACAUGAAAAAUGAAGGCUAAGUUUUCCUAGUGUGCAGGAGAUAACAUCCUUGGCAUAUGGUAUCAAUGAAGAUGUAACUAUGCUUAUAUCAACUUGAAUAGCUGAAUAGGAUUUUGACUUGUAUAGGAAUUCAGAAAGGAAAUGUCUUCUGUAGUCCUCCCUAACGUGAACUAUGUCAAUGAGUCUGUGGCAGCCAACUAAACGAUAUUAACUAAACUUUUCUUUUGGUCAGGGGAUGCUAAAGCCUCUUAGGGAGAAAGAAAGAGAAGAAAAAGGAGGAGAAAGAUGGGAAAAUACAAAAAAGGCAGAGGAGUGAGAAAUGAAAAAUAACUAUGGCCACACUCUGAACAGUGGUUUGCUACUGUCCACAAAAGUGCUCAUCAUCACUGUAGGGGACCUUUGAAAGAGCUGCCGGAGAAGGUGAGGAAGAAAGCCCUGCCUGGAAAGCAACAGUGAACCACCAGUGUCAGCAACGUGAAGCUUGCUGCAAGGCCUGCAGUCAUGAUGAACCCAGCAGCUUCUAGUUCAUCCCAGUGGCCCUGAGACUAUUUAUCCUGUGACUUCACACGCGCUUGGAAGUUUUGUUGUGAUCUUCGCUGAGUCUGUGCGGAAAUCACAGGCUAGAUUUUAGAUUUUUUACUUUUCAGCAUGUGACUUAAAGUUCUGUUGACUUGGGGAAAGGGCUGAUAAUCUUGUGCUAAAUCACUGAUGGAAUAUAAAUUAAAAUCUCCAUCUCUCAGUCAA
rnacentral:lncRNA from 1 species